rnacentral:rRNA from 1 species
GGGGUGCUAACACAUGCAGUCGAACGCGAAAGUCCCGCAAGGGAUAAGUAGAGUGGCAACGGGUGAGUAACACGUGGGUGACCUGCCUUCGAGUGGGGGAUAACGUCCCGAAAGGGACGCUAAUACCGCAUAACAUCCUGCUUUUGAACAGGUGGAGAUCAAAGCUGGGGACCCGCAAGGGCCUGGCGCUGGAAGAGGGGCCCGCGUCUGAUUAGCUAGUUGGUGGGGUACGGCUCACCAAGGCAACGAUCAGUAUCCGGCCUGAGAGGGCGGACGGACACACUGGGACUGAACACGGCCCAGACUCCUACGGGAGGCAGCAGUGGGGAAUUGUUCGCAAUGGGCGCAAGCCUGACGACGCAACGCCGCGUGGAGAAUGAAGACCUUCGGGUCGUAAACUCCUUUCGAUCGAGACGAAUGGCCUUCGGGUGAACAUCCCGGAGGAAUGACGGUACCGAGAGAAGAAGCCCCGGUAACUCCGUGCCAGCAGCCGCGGUAAUACGGGGGGGGGCAAGCGUUGUUCGGAAUUACUGGGGCGUAAAGGGCUC